AUGAAAGAAAAAAUAGAAUAAUUGAAAUCCAUAGUUGUGAUGCAUUGUUGUGGAUCUCGAUCCAAAGGUUCUUUCUUGAUCUAGCUACAAGGAUGGGGCAGUAGGGAAAGAUAAAAUGUGGAACCUAAUAGAAAUUACUACUAGUUGGACAAAAAAAAUAUUUUUUCAAGCGAUUGUGUGAUAACUUUUUCUUCUUCUNNN
rnacentral:lncRNA from 1 species